GACGAACGCUGGCGGCGUGCUUAACACAUGCAAGUCGAACGGAAAGGCCUCUUUCGGGGGGUACUCGAGUGGCGAACGGGUGAGUAACACGUGAGUAACCUGCCCUUGACUUUGGGAUAACUUCAGGAAACUGGGGCUAAUACCGGAUAGGAGCUCCUGCUGCAUGGUGGGGGUUGGAAAGUUUCGGCGGUUGGGGAUGGACUCGCGGCUUAUCAGCUUGUUGGUGGGGUAGUGGCUUACCAAGGCUUUGACGGGUAGCCGGCCUGAGAGGGUGACCGGCCACAUUGAGACUGAGAUACGGCCCAGACUCCGACGGGUGGCAGCAGUGGGGAAUCUUGCACAAGGAGUGGAAGCCUGAUGCUGCAACGCCGUGUGCGGGAUGACGGUCUUCGGGUUGUAGACCGCUUUCGCUCAUGACGAAGCUUUUUGUGACGGUAGUGGGUAAAGAAGCACCGGCUAACUACGUG
rnacentral:rRNA from 1 species